rnacentral:rRNA from 1 species
CACGUAGGGGGCGAGCGUUGUCCGGAUUUAUUGGGCGUAAGGAGCUCGUAGGCGGCUCGGUAAGUCAGGUGUGAAAACUCUAGGCUCAACCUAGAGACGCCACCUGAUACUGCCGUGGCUAGAGUCCGGUAGGGGAGCAUGGAAUUCCUGGUGUAGCGGUGAAAUGCGCAGAUAUCAGGAGGAACACCAGUGGCGAAGGCGGUGCUCUGGGCCGGAACUGACGCUGAGGAGCGAAAGCGUGGGGAGCAAACAGG